rnacentral:tRNA from 1 species
GGCUUGCUGGUCUAGUGAUAUGAUUCUCGCUUUGGGUGCGAGAGGUCACGGGUGCGAUUCCCGUGCAAGCCC